CUCUGGACCGCCCAUUGCUGUCGACGCUCCAACCCCGCUUGGUCAUUCAUUCAUCCAUCGAGUCCGACAUGAGGAAGUGUGCAAUGGUGGUGUGCAUCCAGACCUUCAAAGAUUGGUGAUACAAGUUGAAUCUGCCGCCCGCCACCAGACUGUCAACAUCACUGCAGCGGCAGCUCAUCAGAGGAUGACGUCACCUCAAGCUCCGAGCUACGUUUCUCUUUCUAAUAUAUUUAACCUUCAUUGUUGUUCGCGAUAACUGGCGGCAUGGAAAAAUAAAACACAGCCAUAACAUCA